AGUUUGACAAUAAGAAUCACCUUGAAACAAUAGAAAAACUGAGAAAUGAAGUAAAAAAGUAUGCAGUAAUGGUCACCAAUUCUAGGGCUAACUCUGGUGAGAAAGAAAGUCAGCAGAAAAGUUCCAGUAGGACUCAGAUAAGCGACCACUCGAGAAUGAAAGUGAGCCCUUGGUGAAUGAAAGCGAACAACCAAGCAAGAAAGUAAAGUUCUCUGUUGGUGAAAAAGUCUGGGCUUUUUACAAGGAUGGACAUUCCUACAAGGCCAGGAUUAUCAGGAUUAAAAAAAAUUCCUACCGAGUGAAGUAUAUUGAAGAUGGAGUAUUCCAUAAUGUAGAUGUUGAAGGACCCCUAACUUGUGGUUGAGCUAUAUGCCAUACGCUAUUGUGAUUUGAUAUAAACUUGCAAAAAAAUAUUUAAUGACAGUAGAUCUUGGAUUCCAUAAAGAAAUGAUCAGAUCGAAAUGUAUGUUCCGGACUUACGGCCCCUGACUUACCAGAAAGUGCCGAAAAGUGCUAAAUUUCACCUUGUGAACACAAUAGAGGUGUCAUUUAGUGUUAGAUCUUAAUCAAACUUGCACUUAACAUGUAUCAAUCUAAGAUCCUUACGAGAACCAGUCAGAUUCCAUAUUAUGGAAAACUAUUAACUGAUUAUGUCAAAUUAACUCCCUUUGUUUCAGAUUAAAAUGGGUAUGUCUCAGUAACUAAUGAAGAUACUGAUUAGAAAUUUCAUUUAUGUCAUUAGAUGGACUAAAACAAUCAGGGUAGAUAACUAAACACAAAUUACCUCCCUUUAUUUUUAUGUUUAAUAUAAUUAUAUAUAUAUUGCAUGACCGUCUUGUUUUACUAUGCUAGCAUCGUUAAUACUUUGUAAUACCAUUUUAUGAUUUCAUCCUGUUUCUGAAGCAUAGUUUUAUUUGAUUUUUAAUAUAUAAUAGUCAAAAUAAUUGGCUGUGACUUCAGGUAGAUAGUUUUUGACGGGGGCAGUCUGUCGCGUCCAUUACCUCCCUUUGUUUUUAAUUAAAAUAGGUAUAUCUCAGUAAGUAAUAAAGAUAUUUAUUUGAAAUUUGAUUUAUGCAAUGGGAUGGACUCGGACAAUCAGGGUACAUAACUAUGGACUGAUUUUAUGUCAAAUUACCUGCUUUUGUUUCAAAUUAAAAUGGAUAUAUCUCAGUAACUAAUGAAGAUACUGAUGUGAAAUUGUAUUAAUGACAAUAGAAGGGCUCAGACAUUCAGGAAAGAUAACUGUUGACAAAUUACCUCCCUUUAUUUCUAUAUUGUUUUACUGAGCUAGCAUCAUAAAUACUUUGUAAUACCAUUUUAUGACUUUAUCCAGUUUAUGAAAUUCAAUCAUUUGAUUUGAUUUUUAAUAUACAGAUGAACAGGAUUUAAACUUUAUGCAUUUAUCCUUUGAACAUAUCAUGUGUUGUCAUUUUAUUAAAGAUAUGAUAUAAUUGGUGUCAUGCUCAUGGUUUAAUUAUUGAAGUUAAUUAUUUUAUUUAAAAUCACUAUAUUAUUUAUAUAUGGAAUUAGUGUUGUUCGUAAAUUUACAAAGUUCAUUAUAUUCGUAAAUUUACGAAGUUCAUUGUUUCAUUUUAAAUCAUUAGUUUUGAAAUAUUGUCUCAAUGAUUUCAUGCGACACAUUAGCGAACUUCUCCAAUUUACGUAUUAAUUUUAUUUGAAAUUUUGCGACUGAUCACAUUCGUAAAUUUACGAACAUGUCUUCAGUUAAAAAAUCAUAAUGUAAGUUUCCUAUUUAAGAAUACGUGUGUUUUGUUUUUUAAUAAAUGAAAUUAAAGGUUUGUUCAUAAAUUUAAGAAGUGCAUGGUUUCUCAAAUAUACAAAGCUCAUUGUUUCAUUUUGAUGUUAACUUAUUUCGUGCCAAGCCUUGUCAAACUUCGUAAAUUUAUGAACUACUUCUUUUGAACAUUUUUAAAAUCCAAUUUAUGUAUAAGUUUAUAUGAAAUUUUUACGACUUGUUG
rnacentral:lncRNA from 1 species